GUCAGAAACAUCCACAUAAGGCAGAGCCUGACAACCAACUGGGCUGGGGCCAACCAAGCCCACCAGAUUACGCACAUAGUCAGUCUGCAACAACAGAAGGACCCACGCAGCCCUCUUAUGGAAUCCCUAGAGCAUACAGCUUGGGUGACGAGAGCAGAGUGCACUGCCAGGACACACAGGACUCCUCUUACAGUGGCCACUUCUCCAGGUUUGAGAAAGGUGAAAAAAGAAAAGGCCACAAGUAGAAGCAAGAAAAUUACAAAAUGAAGGAGCUCACCAGAAAACACAAACAUAUAACAAAGUUUUAUUAUUCCUUGAAGAUUUCCAAGCCAUUUGUAUUGGGCAUCCAUGGGCUAUUAUUAACUACAUUAGUCAGAAGCGUUGCAUCUGCCAAUGAAACAGCAGCAGUCUUGGAUAUUUCUACCAGGGCCAUGGCUGCAGCCUUCUAACUGGAUUUUCUCCUUCAGUUUUAUUCUCCUUUAUUCAAUUUUCUGUUCCUCAGAGAGAAAUUCUCUGGUCCCCCAAUGGAAACAACACGCCAACACUCUUUCCAUUACCUUAUCUUACUUUUCUUUGAAAUAUGUAUUUUCUUUGAAGUAUAUUUAUUGACUUUUUUCCCUUUAGAAUUUACAGUUCAUUGGUUCAUGAAAUUUGUUCCCUGCUGUAUCUACAGCAUCUAAAACAGUUCCUGGCAUAUAAUACAUAUUUAAUAAACAUUCA